rnacentral:lncRNA from 1 species
UGAGUGUUUAUGCAGGAUAUAUUUUCACAGGAAGACUACUGCAAUCACAUUAGAAAUUAAUUUGCUAAUACUAAUCAAAUUGAAAAGGUAACCUGUGCCAAAGAGGCAUAUAUGAGGAUUCUCAUUAUAGCAGUAACCUAGGAAAAAAAUGGGUAUGAUUUGCAUCAGUUUCCUCCAAAAGAGGGAAAUGUGUUAAAGGUUUGUUUGCUAAUCUACCACAAUAAUGGGAGAUGGUGGAAUCUUUAGUAGGUAGGGCCUACUGAAGGAAGUUAGGUCAUUGGGGGCAUGUUCUUGUAGUAGAUAUUGAGACCAUGGUCUCUUCUCAUUUCCUUUGCUUCCUGUCUGCCAUGAGGUGAGAAGUUUCCUCUGUCACACCUCCUUCCACAAUGUACUGCCUUACCUCAAGCCCAAAAGCAGUGGGGCCAACCAACUGAAUCUAUGAAAUUUUGAGUCAAAAUAAAACUUUCCUCCCUAUAAGUUGCUUAUUUCAGAUAUUUUUGUCACAGUAAUGGAAAGCUG